rnacentral:rRNA from 1 species
UUUCCCUCAGGAUAGCUGGCACUCGCUCGAGCGAGUCUCAUCUGGUAAAGCGAAUGAUUAGAGGCCUUGGGGCCGAAACGACCUCAACCUAUUCUCAAACUUUAAAUGGGUGAGAUCUCUGGCUUGCUUGAACGUUGAAGCCACGAGAUUUAUUUUGCAUGGAUCAGAGUGCCAAGUGGGCCAUUUUUGGUAAGCAGAACUGGCGCUGUGGGA